GUCUAUGGCCAUACCACCCUGAACGCGCCCGAUCUCGUCUGAUCUCGACAGCUAAGCAGGGUCGGGCCUGGUUAGUCCUUGGAUGGG
rnacentral:rRNA from 14 species